rnacentral:rRNA from 1 species
AUUGAACGCUGGCGGCAUGCCUUACACAUGCAAGUCGAACGGCAGCACGGGAGCUUGCUCCUGGUGGCGAGUGGCGAACGGGUGAGUAAUACAUCGGAACGUACCCAGGAGUGGGGGAUAACGUAGCGAAAGUUACGCUAAUACCGCCUAUUCUGUGAGCAGGAAAGCGGGGGAUCGCAAGACCUCGCGCUCUUGGAGCGGCCGAUGUCGGAUUAGCUAGUUGGUGAGGUAAAAGCUCACCAAGGCGACGAUCCGUAGCAGGUCUGAGAGGAUGAUCUGCCACACUGGGACUGAGACACGGCCCAGACUCCUACGGGAGGCACCAGUGGGGAAUUUUGGACAAUGGGGGCAACCCUGAUCCAGCCAUGCCGCGUGAGUGAAGAAGGCCUUCGGGUUGUAAAGCUCUUUCGGCGGGGAAGAAAUGGCAACGGCUAAUAUCCGUUGUUGAUGACGGUACCCGCAUAAGAAGCACCGGCUAACUACGUGCCAGCAGCCGCGGUAAUACGUAGGGUGCGAGCGUUAAUCGGAAUUACUGGGCGUAAAGCGUGCGCAGGCGGUUUCGUAAGACAGACGUGAAAUCCCCGGGCUCAACCUGGGAACUGCGUUUGUGACUGCGAGGCUAGAGUACGGCAGAGGGGGGUAGAAUUCCACGUGUAGCAGUGAAAUGCGUAGAGAUGUGGAGGAAUACCGAUGG